UUACAGCAGUUACAUUCCAUUUCAGUAUCUGAACCUGCAACCAAAAAUCUCUUGACUAUCCAUAACCAGCGACAGAGAGAGUAGCAGAGACUUAGCAGUAAUUUGUCAGCAAUAAUCAGCAUUUUGUCUUGUACUUAGUCUUGUACUGCGAUGUAUCUGUGGUAAAAUGAACCAGAAAUCCGUUAUGUCCUCACUGUAUGUGGGUGGUCUGCACCCUGAGGUGAUGGAGAACAUGCUUGUGGAGAAAUUCAGCCCUGCAGGACGAAUUCACUCCAUCAGGCUCUGCAGGGACAGGAAGACCGGCUCUUCACUCGGCUAUGCUUUCGUCAAUUUUCAUCGUCGAGCUGAAGCUGAGCGAGCAUUGGAAAUGCUCAAUUAUGAACCCCUCAUGGGGCGGCCCAUGCGUAUCAUGUGGUCUCAUAAGGAUUCAUCCCUCAGGAACACUGGCAUGGGAAAACUGUUUGUCAGGAAUUUGGACAACUCGAUUGGCAACAUGGCCCUUCAUGACAUCUUCUCCACCUUUGGGAAAGUCCUUUCCUGCACGGUUGUAAAUAAUGAGACCGGGUCAAAAGGGUAUGGCAUUGUCCACUUUGAGUCUCUGGAGGCGGCGAAUAUGGCGAUAGAGAGGCUCAACGGCAAACUGCUAAACGGCUGCAAAGUGUUUGUUGAACGCUUCAAACCCUAUGAGGGGCACAAGGCUGAGGCAGGUCCCCAAUCCCAAGACUUCACAAACAUAUAUAUCAGGAACCUGGGUGAAGUCGUGGAUGAAAUAAAACUGAAAAACAUCUUCAGCAAGUUUGGUCCUGUGAUGAAAGUUCAUGUGGAGACAGACGAGGACAAACGUUCUGGCUAUGUAAAAUUUGAGAAGCACGAGGAUGCACAGAGGGCUGUGGAGGAGAUGAAUGGGAUGGUGAUGUACGGCAAGCAGAUGUAUGUGACCCAAGCGCAAACGAAAGCAGAGCGACCCAAUCACAAGUUUGAGCAGGUGAAGAUGGAAAAUGGCCGCUCCAGGGGGUCUGGCUUCAUGCACUCCUCAUGUUCCCAGGAAACCACGAAGGCCGGGAAUCUGCACUGGACUGCGCAGACCAUGGAGCCACAAUAUGUCCAGAAUAUGCCCGAUGGUGUUGACCCUGCCCCGGGGCAUCAGGAGACCAGUGGAACCAUCACACCAUCAAGCAGUCAGGUGCCAUGUGUGACUGUAGAGAGUACAGUUAUAACUACACCAACAUCUGUAGAUACUGUUCCAGUGGCAGACUCAGUGCCAGCUGUAGAAAGUGUCCCAGCUGAACACACUGUUCCAGCUGUAGAAAGUGUUCCAGCUGAACACACUGUUCCAGCUGUAGAAAGUGUCCCAGCUGAACACACUCUUCCAGCUGUAGAAAGUGUCCCAGCUGAACACACUCUUCCAGCUGUAGAAAGUGUCCCAGUUGAGCACACUGUUCCAGCUGUAGAAAGUGUCCCAGUUGAGUACACUGUUCCAGCUGUAGAAAGUGUCCCAGCUGAACACACUGUUCCAGCUGCAGAAAGUGUCCCAGUUGAGUACACCGUUCCAGCUGUAGAAAGUGUCCCAGUUGAGCACACUGUUCCAGCUGUAGAAAGUGUCCCAGUUGUCGACACUCUUCCAGCUGUAGAAAGUGUCCCAGUUCCAGCUGCAGAUAAGCUUCCAGCUCCAACUCAAGCUCCAAAUGCAGAUGUUAUAUGUCUUCCUUCUACAUGUAUGGUGUCUGAAAGUGAAGCGGCGAAUAUGGCGAUAGAGAGGCCCAACGGCAAACUGCUGAACGCCCGCAAAGUGUUUGUUGAACGCUUCAAACCCCGUGAGGAGCACAAGGCUGAGGCGGGUCCCCAAUCCCAAUUCUUCACAAACAUAUAUAUCAGGAACCUGGGUGAAGUUGUGGAUGAAACAAAACUGAAAAACAUCUUCAGCAAGUUUGGUCCUGUGCUGAACGUCCAUGUGGUGACAGAUGUGAACAGGAAGCCCAAACGUUCUGGCUAUGUAAAAUUUGAGAGGCACGAGGAUGCACAGAAGGCUGUGCAGGAGAUGAAUGGGAUGGUCAUGUACGGCAAGCAGAUGUAUGUGACCCGAGCGCAAACGAAAGCAGAGCGACCCAAUCACAAGUUUGAGCAGGUGUUCAAGGAAGAGGUUGGUCUUUAGCUGUUUUGAAGAUGGUGAGAGAUUCUGCGGUCUGGAUUGAGGUUGGAAGUUCAUUCCACCACUGAGGAACAGUUAGUUUGAAUGUUCUGGAAAGGGACCUUGAGCCAGGCUGAGUAGGUACUACUAAGUGUCAGUCAUUAAUUGAUCGCACAUUGUGUGAAGGAACGUAAGCCUGCAGGAGAGAGUUGAGGUAGGAGGGUGCUGUUCCAGACAAGGUCUUGUAGGUGAGCAUCAAGGCCUUGAAUUUGAUGCGGGCGGCUACAGGAAGCCAGCGAAGGGAGAUGAAGAGGAGUGUGACAUGGGUUCUCUUGGGCUGGUUGAAGACAAGGCGUGCUGCAGCAUUCUGAAUCAUCUGGAGGGGUUUGAUGGAGCUGCUGGGAGGCCCGAGAGUAGAUGAACCUACAGGGCCUUGCAGUUGUUGAGAUGUGGUCUGUAAAGGUCAAGCUGUCAUCGAGAAUCAUCCAAAGGUUCCUGGCUGUCCUGGUUGGCUUGAGUGUGGUUGAGCCAAGCUGUACAGUGAGGUUGUGGUUGAUUGAGGGGCAGGCUGGGAUGACGAGAAGCUCAGAUUUUGCCAGGUUGAGCUUAAGGUGGUGUUCCCUCAUCCAGACCGAGAUGUCCGUCAGGCAAGCAGAGAUACAUGCAGAGACGGAUGGAUCCUCAGGCUGGAAGGACAAAUCGAGUUAGGUGUCAUCAGCAUAGCAGUGGUGAAGAUGGAAAAUGGCCGCUCCAGGGGGUCUGGCUUCGUGCACUCCUCAUCUUCCCAGGAAGCCACGAAGGCCAGGAAUCUGCAUUAGACCGCGCAGACCAUCCAGCCACAAU